UCUUAUGAAUGAGCAAAGAAAGUGGUUUCUUGAGAUGGAAUCUACUCUUGGUGAAGACUGUUGAAAU
rnacentral:pre_miRNA from 1 species